rnacentral:tRNA from 1 species
UCAAGGAGGUUUAUUGAUUAAUUGGAAGCUGCUAACUUACUAAUUUGGUGGUUUGAUUCCAUCAA